GAAAUGCGAUAAGUAAUGUGAAUUGCAGAAUUCAGUGAAUCAUCGAAUCUUUGAACGCACCUUGCGCUCCUUGGUAUUCCUUGGAGCAUGCCUGUUUGAGUAUCAUGAAAUCUUCAAAGUAAAUCUUUUGUUAACUCAAUUGGUUUCUACUUUGGUAUUGGAGGUCUUUGCAGCUUCACACCUGCUCCUCUUUGUUCAUUAGCUGGAUCUCAGUGUUAUGCUUGGUUCCACUCAGCGUGAUAAGUUAUCUAUCGCUGAGGACACUGUAAAAGGUGGCCAAGGUAAAUGCAGAUGAACCGCUUCUAAUAGUCCAUUGACUUGGACAAUACUUUUAUGAUCUGACCUCAAAUCAGGUAGGACUACCCGCUGAACUUAAGC
rnacentral:misc_RNA from 1 species